CUCAGAGCUCUCCUACUGAAAUACGGCCUUCUGAAGUGAGCAGAUUUAUCAGUACUCCCCAUGAAUGCCAGAGAGGCUCAAGCAUUCAAGAGUCUGGGAUUAGUAGGACUUUGCAAGGGAGAAGCAGAUGGAUAAAGAAUUCCAAGGCUACCCAGAGGCUAUUUAAGCUGUGGGCUGGCUUUCCCCAGGGUCUGAGGAUUGUUCAAGGUUCCUGAAUAAACUGCAUUGAAAAAAAAAAAAAAAACAAGAAAAAAAAAAAGAAUUCCAAGGACAAAGGAGGGAAUGGAGAAACACACAGAGAAGAUUGUGUGAUGGUGGUUCCUCAGAACACUGCAAGCUUAAAUAUUCUGGUUCCUACUGCUCUUGCAGGGUUGAGGAGGCUCACAUCUAUGAUAUUCUUGCAUCACCCACCAUCCACAGUCUUCAGCUACAGAGUAUUAUCAGGGACUUAAUAGUCAUCUGAGGUUUAAUGACUCUACUGUGCGUCUUGGACCAUCAACUCCUCCCGGACUCUCAUUAAUCCCAGGGGCAAUGGCUUAGACUGUGAUCAUUAUUGCUUUAACAAACACUUCUAGUAGAUGAGAGUAACUCUCCAUUUAUCUUCCAUGGAAAUUCAUUCUGCUGGACUGACACUGUCAGCUGAAGAUGCAAGCUUUUGUCUUGAAGUUUAAAAGAAUGGAAAUGCAAGUCCUGACCUAGAAGCUACCCCAGAACCUCACUGAGUCCAUUUCUUCUCUGCUGUCAAAGAUGGAGUGAAAUUCCAUGCUGAGAAACGUGCAUGGAAUUCUGCAGAUGGUG